GUGCGAGACCGAUAGCGAACAAGUACCGUGAGGGAAAGAUGAAAAGAACUUUGAAAAGAGAGUUAAAGAGUACCUGAAACUGCUGAAAGGGAAGCGAAUCGUAUCCAGUGUCUAUAAUCUGCGGCAUAUUUCAUUGGCGGCAGUGUGCGUGCUUUUGCGUCGGAAGCGGCUUUUGUUGCUCUGUGCUUUUGCUGUGCGUGCUGUUGCUGGUGCCCUGUGUUGCGGUGGGACGUCAGAGUCAGUUCGUAUGCUGCGGGAAAUGGCCGCCGAGGAGGUAGGUCAGGACUUCGGUCUUGGCUGUUAUAUCUUGGUGGUUUGUUGUCGUGGUUGGGACUGAGGUGCCUACAAUGUGCUUUUGAGUGUGCCGGGUUCUCAUUGGUGGACUGUUUGGAUAGCUUGCUAUGCUUGUGGUUUUUUCAUCGAGUGAUUGAGUCUGGUGGUAACUUGUUGCUGUUCGGGACUUUGAA
rnacentral:rRNA from 2 species